rnacentral:rRNA from 1 species
UACGUAGGUGGCAAGCGUUGUCCGGAUCUACUGGGUGUAAAGGGCGUGUAGCCGGGCUGACAAGUCAGAUGUGAAAUCCGGGGGCUCAACCCCCGAACUGCAUUUGAAACUGUUGGUCUUGAGUAUCGGAGAGGCAGGCGGAAUUCCUAGUGUAGCGGUGAAAUGCGUAGAUAUUAGGAAGAACACCAGUGGCGAAGGCGGAUGACUGGACGGCAACUGACGGUGAGGCGCGAAAGCGUGGGGAGCAAACAGG